UUGAUCAACUGAGCAGGUCUUACUUCUUUUCUUUCCUUUCUGUUGUUCCUGUCUUACUCUUCCCUGCGCUAGAUGACACACAUUGUGUCAAUUUCCUGACACUAAUCUUCAUGAAAGGAAAAUCAGUUCUCCAAGCUUUUGAAAACAUGGAUUUCAAAUGCCAGCCAGUCAGCCUGCCUAUCUCUGGCAUUAACAAUCAACAUCUUUAAUCAAACAUAUGUUAUCGACCUGACUGUACAGUGGAUACUUGGCCACUGCAACGUCCCUGGAAAUGGCAGCUGACACCCUUGGUAAAAAGGGAGCAUCACAAACACAACCUAAAAAUCCAGUGUCACUACAGUCAAGAAUAUCAUCAAAUGCAACAUCCUGGAACAGUGGCUGAAUGAACAGGCAAUGGGUAAAACUGGAAGAACUGCAUUUGCACACAUAAUUGCCCUCACCUUAAAAGAUGCACUAAAGUCCCUGAGUAGAAGAGGACAGGUCACUCCCUGUCUUCCAUCUGCGAACACAACACAUCCUACUGUCUUCCGUCUGCGAACAGAACACAUCACACUGAAUUCCUACCUGAAUAGGAUCCAAAAGGAUACGCCUGAUUAAACCUUGUAAAUUCUUUGCCAUAUAUAUGUUCGUGCAGAAGGGAUUGAACUCAGAUGGCUGCUAAAUUGGAAAAGUGAAAUAAGUACAGUAAUUGUCAACGUGUUACUCUUUACAGUCUCGAACUCAACUAAUUUCUCUCCCUUCUACCCUACUUCUUUUAGUGAUACUCAAUGCUAGGCCAUCUACUUUUUGCGGGCGAUUGAAGGACGCCACUGGUAGGUCCCAUUCCCUCUUUACUCUCCCCCCCCCUUUUUUUUUUAUCGGCCUUGCUUUCUUUUUCUUCUAUGGCUGGCCUCCUCCGGAGGGCGGCAGCCUGUGGCAUGCAGUCAGAUAUGUGACGACCUUUUUGGGUUUAUAGCAUGUCAGGUCUGGGCCAGUUAUUGUCUUGCAGUAGCGGUUUGCGGUACAGAUCUCCGUGCGGGCACUAGAAUAGUGCGUAAUGUAAGUCAUCAGGACUGACUUCACCUAUCCUCUGGAAGUAGGAUGGUAAGAUAGGACUUUUCGUGUUGCACCAUCAUUGCAACAAUAUCAGUUAUCUCCAGCCGCUAUAAGCGAGAGACUCAGGUCUGCUGGUCCAGCUGAGCCUACGGUAAAAAACCAGUUUGUACUUCCAUGUCUACCUGUAUCCGGGUUUUGUUUGCCGUUUGGUCCGUAUUGCUGUUGUUAAUCUGGAGUCCCCAGCACCACAUAGAGGUUUAAAAUUUUGUCUUGGGGUUCUUGCUUUCUCCCAGUCACUGAGUGAUGGUUCCUUUGUUGAUGUCAAUUCUCUAUGCUUAACGCUGUGGAGUUCACUGCCCUUGAUAUCGACCGAUAUUAGUCGAUGGAAGGGCGCUUACUAGAUCGAACUUGAAUCACGUGUUCUUUUAAAAAUUUUUUCGCAAAUUAAAAAACAAAAAACAAAUAAGUAGAUGUUUAAUUUUGUCCAAGGAAACAGUCGUUUUUGUCAAAAAAAUUAUUAUUCCCGAGACGAAAAAUGGACCGCACAUAAUUUCCGCAUCACUUUGUUCCUCUUCCACUAUUUUGUGUUUACGAUAACCACGCUUCUCCACUAACUCUCGACUUUUCGCUCAUAAAAGCGGUGCAUCAUGUCUGACAACGAAGAUUUUGUUAUGGAUGACUCUCUUAGUGAGUCUUCUGAGGAGGAAAGCGAUGAUUGCCCCUCAAAUGACGAAGAGAAUCAGGAAUUGGCCCCGACUGUGGACCCAGGACAACGGAACUAGAGGUAAACUCCUUUGUUUAUAUUCACAGCUGAUCAGAGUUCUAGUUAGGGGGACCUAGGGUGCACCUGGAGUGAAAAUUGUGGUUUCUUACAGCACUAAAUCUCUCAUCAAUCACAUCUGCUGAAUGCUUUGCUACAGUAUGACUGAAAGCAGUUUUUCAUUUGUUUAGAAACAGUAUGCAGCUGUAAUCAGGAAGUAGGCAGGAAGACCAGGAUGUAAUCUAUGGUUUACCUGUUACUAGAUUCUAGCUCUAGGCUAGAAGUAUACAGCUCCUUUACUACUUUAGGUUUGUUGCACUAUGUACAAGCUUAUGUUUUCUAUGCAUGAAGAUCCAUGUAACUGCACUUUGAUAUGAUAUUUACUGUGCAGAUUAUUCAUAAAGUUUCUUAUUUAUUUGUCUCGUAUAAGCAAGCGCAAGAAGUAGGAGUUGCAGAGGCAGAGAAGUCGUAUGGUGAUGAGGACAAUGCUCCAGACCUGACAAUCCGUAAGUUCAGGCGGGAGUACACCCCUGGGCUCCACCUGCCAGAGGAUAGGACGAAAGCUGAUACCAUCAAGUAUCUAAGGCCAGGUGCAUUCUUCAAAAUGUUUUUCUCCGUUGAGUUGGUGAAAGAGAUCUGCCCAUGCACAAACAGUUAUGCAGAAGACAUGAAAGAAAUAAAACCAUCGUUUUCAAAGAACUGGAAGCCACUGACA